GGAGAAGGGACAAGUCUGAUCACUACAGGACUCUACGUACCAUACAAAGUCUCUUAAGAGCUCAUCACUGCUCUGAGAGAACUGUUGGAGUGAAAUGAAUAGAGCUGGUCUGUCUACACCUGCCAACACACAUAGGUUUGUCAUGUCUGGUGAAGAACCGUGGGUACCUAAACCCAGUUCGACUUCCUGGGUAUGAAGAGUGGUCAACAUUCGGUUCCCCUGCAGAUUCAGGCCCUGAUUUUGGAAGCAUUGACUGGAUAUUGAAAUACUGCUUUGUUGAACAGGGAACAGUGGAGAGUUGAAUGGUAUUCCAUUGUCUGCAGUACUUACAUGAAUGA